rnacentral:lncRNA from 1 species
GAAGAUAAAGAGUCCCACAUUGGAAAGUUGAGAAACCUAGCAUGGGCUUAUAAGGAGUUGGGCUACUCCCCCCAUUGCCAAUUGGUUUUGGGGUUGAAACCUCAACUUCCUUUAUGGUAUCAGAGUGGGUUAGCCCACGUGUGAAAGUCCAACAGCCACACGUGCUCCACGUCACCCAAAAUGUGUUGUCCACGUGUUAGGCUUGAAAAUUCGCCACACGUGCGGGGGCUUGUGAGAAUGUGAAGAUAAAGAGUCUCACAUUGGAAAGUUGAGAAACCUAGCAUGGGCUUAUAAGGAGUUGGGCUACUCCCCCCAUUGCCAAUUGGUUUUGGGGUGAAACCUCAACUUCCUUCACUGGUGUGCAAUGUAUUUUACACAGUCAACCCCAUGCUCAGGAUCCGGAGUGUUGUAUGCAAUUUGAGCUCCAAGAGACCGGAGUUCCUCCGCAACAGAACACAUGUUGCGAGUCGAUUUCAAAGCAAGAUUUAUUAUCUCCAAUGCUUCGCAAUAUCUAUGCAAGGAAGCCAGUGAGAAUCAUCACUUUGCCAUUCAACUCUAGUAGCCGUUGCCUCAGCUCUCUUUUCUUCCUUUUCUUUUGCCUUCUUUUGAAGCAACUUCUUCGCUCGGGUUGCUUUCAGCAGAUCUCAUGCAGGAGCUACUGGUCUAGAUCUGCAAAAUAGGUUAUCUGUUUGGUGAUCAUCCAGGACUUUCGCUCUUUCUAACAGAAAACUUUUUGGGUAAACUUGGAAAGCAAAAGUUAACUCGUAUAAUAUAUUAAUGACAUUGUUUUAAGUGUAAGGAGAAUGACAC